CGGGACGGGUGAGUAAUGUAUGGGGAUCUGCCUGAUGGCGGGGAUAACUACUGGAAACGGUAGCUAAUACCGCAUAACGUCGCAAGACCAAAGAGGGGGACCUUCGGGCCUCUUGCCAUCGGAUGUGCCCAGAUGGGAUUAGCUAGUAGGUGGGGUAACGGCUCACCUAGGCGACGAUCCCUAGCUGGUCUGAGAGGAUGACCAGCCACACUGGAACUGAGACACGGUCCAG
rnacentral:rRNA from 1 species